UAAUACAUGCAAGUCGAACGCGUCUCCGUUAAUGAUUUUAGGUGCUUGCACUUGAAAGAUUUAACAUUGAGACGAGUGGCGAACUGGUGAGUAACACGUGGGUAACCUGCCCUUGAAGUAGGGGAUAACACUUGGAAACAGGUGCUAAUACCGUAUAACAACCAAAACCACCUGGUUUUGGUUUAAAAGACGGCUUCGGCUGUCACUUUAGGAUGGACCCGCGGCGUAUUAGCUUGUUGGUAAGGUAACGGCUUACCAAGGCGAUGAUACGUAGCCGACCUGAGAGGGUAAUCGGCCACAUUGGGACUGAGACACGGCCCAAACUCCUACGGGAGGCAGCAGUAGGGAAUCUUCCACAAUGGACGAAAGUCUGAUGGAGCAACGCCGCGUGAGUGAUGAAGGGUUUCGGCUCGUAAAACUCUGUUGUUGGAGAAGAACAGGUGUCAGAGUAACUGUUGACAUCUUGACGGUAUCCAACCAGAAAGCCACGGCUAACUACGUGCCAGCAGCCGCGGUAAUACGUAGGUGGCAAGCGUUGUCCGGAUUUAUUGGGCGUAAAGCGAGCGCAGGCGGUUUUUUAGGUCUGAUGUGAAAGCCUUCGGCUUAACCGGAGAAGUGCAUCGGAAACCGGGAGACUUGAGUGCAGAAGAGGACAGUGGAACUCCAUGUGUAGCGGUGAAAUGCGUAGAUAUAUGGAAGAACACCAGUGGCGAAGGCGGCUGUCUGGUCUGUAACUGACGCUGAGGCUCGAAAGCAUGGGUAGCGAACAGGAUUAGAUAC
rnacentral:rRNA from 1 species